CCUACGGGAGGCAGCAGUAGGGAAUAUUGCACAAUGGGCGAAAGCCUGAUGCAGCAACGCCGCGUGCGCGAAGAAGGCCUUCGGGUUGUAAAGCGCUUUUCUGGAGGAAGAGAAAGGACGGUACUCCAGGAAUAAGGAUCGGCUAACUACGUGCCAGCAGCCGCGGUAAU
rnacentral:rRNA from 1 species